rnacentral:misc_RNA from 1 species
UUUCCGUAGGUGAACCUGCGGAAGGAUCAUUACAGAGUUCACGACCGAAAGGGUCCACCGCCCACCCUCUAGUAUUAUUACUUUGUUGCCGUGGCGACAGCAAGCUCUCCAGACAAUACUAAAACUCUGUUUAUUAAUGACUUCUGAGUACUAUAUAAUAGUUAAAACUUUCAACAACGGAUCUCUUGGUUCUG